ACAGGAUUAGGCCCUCUAGACUUGCAAUGUGCCCCGGUGGAGUCCCAAAUGAGCUGUAUUACCUACCUCACAGGUCUGGAUCAAGGGAUUGUGGCUUUCCAGUUGAAGAUGUCGAGUUAAGUGCUUUUCCUGAGUCAAGGCUAACAGCUCAGUUACGUGGAGACAAAAAUAUUCAGGAAUAUCUUGAAUUUGCAAUGGAACACAAUCAAUUACAGUGGCCGCAGACAUGGGAGGAAGCAUUAAAACUUUACUUCACAUUGAAGGAAACGGCAGGUCUCUGAGCAUGAGUAAGUAUUCUUCAGUAGACACUACAGAGUAGAAUGUACUUAGAAAACAAAUUAACAAAAAUUAAAACAAAAUAAUGCAAUACACAGAGUGGAAUCUGUGACAUUUGAAGAACUGAAGAACAGUUUUACAUAUUAAUGUAUGGUUAUUUACACAAUUUUUACUUUCAGCAGGUCUGGAUGAAGGGAUUGUGGCUUUCCAGUUUACAAAUUCACAUUGAUGGGAACAUCAGUUUUCUGAGCAUGAGUAAGUAUUAACAAUGUCAGUAGAAACUACUGAGUACAACUUGAGUAGAACUAACUGGCAAUACAUAGUGUAAACAAUCAAUGCAAUACACAGUGGAACCUGUGCCAUUUAAAGAACUGAACAGUUCUACAUAUUGUCAGGUUAUUAGAUGCAUCCAAAACCUGGAGAAUUCUGAAUUCCGAAGUCCAUGCGAGUCUUAAAAAUAUCGUAUGUGUCUAAGAGAGGUAAUUUUAGGGUGUUCGCACAUGUAUUUGCCAUUGGGAAUGGUUAAUUGGGAAGAAAAGUGAUGGAUGGUUGUGGUGUUAUUCCUGCAGGCGGAAGUGAUGUCUGGCCAGUAGCAAACAUCAGCAGAUUCUCCAGCGGCACUUCUCUCUGGUGUUCUAGAAGAAAAAAAACAUGCUACAGACUUUUGAAUUUCACCAGAAACAGAACAUUUGAUUUCGAGGAGAUAGUCUGACCAAAAGGACAGCGUUCUGGAUUCUUCCUGCCUCUGGUUACUACCUGCUGGGCUGAGUUCUGCUUUGAAGAGGUUUUCCAAAUCAGUUGCUGUAAG